rnacentral:rRNA from 1 species
UACAGAGGUCCCAAGCGUUGUUCGGAUUCACUGGGCGUAAAGGGUGCGUAGGCGGUCGGGUAAGUCUGAUGUGAAAUCUCAGAGCUCAACUCUGAAACUGCAUUGGAUACUAUUCGGCUUGAGGACUGGAGAGGAGACUGGAAUUUACGGUGUAGCGGUGAAAUGCGUAGAUAUCGUAAGGAAGACCAGUGGCGAAGGCGGGUCUCUGGACAGUUCCUGACGCUGGAGGCACGAAGGCCAGGGGAGCAAACGGG